rnacentral:rRNA from 1 species
CAACCUGAGAGUUUGAUUCUGGCUCAGAACGAACGCUGGCGGCAGGCUUAACACAUGCAAGUCGAACGAUAAGCUACCUUCGGGUAGUGGACAGUGGCAGACGGGUGAGUAACGCGUAGCAACCUACCUAGUAGUACGGAAUAACGCUUAGAAAUGAGUGCUAAUACCGUAUACGCCCUUUUGGGGAAAGAUUUAUCGCUAUUAGAUGGGGCUGCGUUAGAUUAGCUAGUUGGUGAGGUAAGAGCUCACCAAGGCGACGAUCUAUAGCGGGUCUGAGAGGAUGAUCCGCCACACUGGGACUGAGACACGGCCCAGACUCCUACGGGAGGCAGCAGUGGGGA